ACGGGGUGCAGCAGGCGCGAAAACUCCGCAAUGUUCGAAAGAACGACGGGGGAACUCCAAGUGCAUUUACGCAAGUAAGUGGUUUUUAGUAGUGUAAAUAGCUGUUAGAAUAAGAGCUGGGUAAGACCGGUGCCAGCCGCCGCGGUAACACCGGCAGCUCGAGUGGUGACCGCUUUUAUUGGGCCUAAAGCGUUCGUAGCCGGUCCAGUAAGUCUUUGGGCAAAUCUUCUCGCUCAACGAAAAGAAUUCCGAAGAUACUGCUGGACUUGGGGCCGAGAGAGGUUAGAGGUACUCCUGGGGUAGGGGUGAAAUCCUAUAAUCCUGGGGGGACCGCCAGUGGCGAAGGCGUCUAACCAGAGCGGACCCGACGGUGAGGGACGAAAGCCAGGGGCGCGAACGGGAUUAGAUACCCCGGUAGUCCUGGCCGUAAACGCUGCAUGCUAGGUGUUGCAUGCUCUACGGGGGCAUGCAGUGCCGAAGAGAAGUUGAUAAGCGUGCCGCCUGGGAAGUAUAUCGCAAG
rnacentral:rRNA from 1 species